UACGAAGGGGGCUAGCGUUGCUCGGAAUUACUGGGCGUAAAGGGCGCGUAGGCGGACAGUUUAGUCAGAGGUGAAAGCCCAGGGCUCAACCUUGGAAUUGCCUUUUAUACUGGCUGUCUUGAGUUCGGGAGAGGUGAGUGGAACUGCGAGUGUAGAGGUGAAAUUCGUAGAUAUUCGCAAGAACACCAGUGGCGAAGGCGGCUCACUGGCCCGGUACUGACGCUGAGGUGCGAAAGCGUGGGGAGCAAACAGG
rnacentral:rRNA from 1 species